CGACGUAAAGAACUUGCCUCACAGCUAGGGACAACAUUUAGAAAAGAAUGCUAAUACCUGAUAUUAUGAUUUUAAGGCAUCUUAGAAUUAUGAAAGCUAUAAGCACUGUGAGAGAGCUUUGCGUCCCAUUAGCUAGUUGGAGAGGUAACAGCUCACCAAGGCGAUGAUGGGUAGCCGGCCUGAGAGGGUGAACGGCCACAAGGGGACUGAGACACGGCCCUU
rnacentral:rRNA from 1 species